UGCUACUGUCUGGACCACCGCGAG
rnacentral:siRNA from 1 species